rnacentral:rRNA from 1 species
UACAUGGGGUGCAAACGUUGCUCGGAAUUAUUGGGCGUAAAGCGCACGUAGGCGGUUCGUUAAGUCGGAUGUGAAAGCCCUCGGCUCAACUGAGGAAGUGCACCCGAAACUGGCGAGCUUGAGUACGAAAGAGGAUCGCGGAAUUCCGGUGUAGAGGUGAAAUUCGUAGAUAUCGGGAGGAACACCGGUGGCGAAGGCGGCGAUCUGGGUCGAUACUGACGCUGAGGUGCGAAAGCGUGGGAGCGAACAGG